GACGAACGCUGGCGGCGUGCUUAACACAUGCAAGUCGAACGGAAAGGCCCGGCGCUUGUUGGUUUCUCGAUUGGCGAACAGGGGAGUGACACGCGUGUAACCUGCCCCUGUCUUUGGGAGAACUUCAGGAAACUGGGGCUAAUAUCGGAUAUGAUCUCCUGCUGCAUGUUGUGGGUUGGAAAGUUUCGGCGGUUGGGGAUGUUCUCGCGGCUUAUGAGCUUGUUGGUGUGGUAGGUGCUUACCAAGGCUUUGACGGGUAGCCGGCCUGAGAGGGUGAACGGCCACAAUGGGCCUGAGAUACGGACCAGAAUCCUACGGGAGGCAGCAGUGGGGAAUAUUGCAGAAUGGGCGGAAGCGUGAUGCAGCAACGCCGCGUGCGGGAUAACGGCUUUCGGGUUGUAAACAGAUUUGGCCUGUGACGAAGAGUGAGUGACGGUAAUGGGUAAAGAAGCACCGGCUAACUACGUG
rnacentral:rRNA from 1 species